CUGGCGGCAGGCUUAACACAUGCAAGUCGAACGGGAAGGUUCCUUCGGGAACCGGCGAGUGGCGCACGGGUGAGUAACGCGUGGGGAUCUGCCUCGAAGUGGGGAAUAACCGCUGGAAACGGCGGCUAAUACCGCAUACGCCCUCAGGGGGAAAGCUUUAUGCGCUUCGAGAUGAACCCGCGUCGGAUUAGCUAGUUGGUGAGGUAAAGGCUCACCAAGGCGACGACGGGUAGCCGGCCCUGAGAGGGCGACCGGCCACACUGGGACUGAGACACGGCCCAGACUCC
rnacentral:rRNA from 1 species